CCUACGGGAGGCAGCAGUGGGGAAUAUUGCGCAAUGGGCGAAAGCCUGACGCAGCGACGCCGCGUGAGGGAUGAAGGUCUUCGGAUCGUAAACCUCUGUCAGCAGGGAAGAACGGUCACUGUGCUAAUCAGCAGUGAAUUGACGGUACCUGCAAAGGAAGCACCGGCUAACUCCGUGCCAGCAGCCGCGGUAAUACGGAGGGUGCGAGCGUUAAUCGGAAUUACUGGGCGUAAAGCGCGCGUAGGCGGUAUGUCAAGUCAAGGGUGAAAUCCCCGCGCUCAACGUGGGAACUGCCUUUGAAACUGGCAAACUGGAGUGUGUGAGAGGAUAGUGGAAUGCCAGGUGUAGGAGUGAAAGCCGUAGAUAUCUGGAGGAACAUCAGUGGCGAAGGCGACUAUCUGGCACAUAACUGACGCUGAGGAGCGAAAGCGUGGGUAGCAAACAGGAUUAGAUACCCUAGUAGUC
rnacentral:rRNA from 1 species